rnacentral:rRNA from 1 species
GACGAACGCUGGCGGCGUGCUUAACACAUGCCAGUCGAACGGAAAGGCCCCUUUGGGGGUACUCGAGUGGCGAACGGGUGAGUAACACGUGAGUAACCUGCCCUCGACUUCGGGAUAACUUCAUGAAACUGGGGCUAAUACCGGAUAGGAAUCCUUGCUUCAUGGUGGGGGUUGGAAAGCUUCGGCGGUUUUGGAUGGACUCGCGGCUUAUCAGCUUGUUGGUGGGGUAGUGGCUUACCAAGGCUUUGACGGGUAGCCGGCCUGAGAGGGCGACCGGCCAAAUUGGGACUGGGAUACGGCCCAGACUCCUACGGGAGGCAGCAGUGAGGAAUAUUGCACAAUGGGCGGGAGCCUGAUGCAGCAACGCCGCGUGCGGGAUGACGGCCUUCGGGUUGGAAACCGCUUUCAGCAGGGGCGAAGCUUGUGGUGACGGUACCUGCAGAAGAAGCACCGGCUAACUACGUG